CCUACGGGUGGCAGCAGUGAGGAAUAUUGGUCAAUGGACGCAAGUCUGAACCAGCCAUGCCGCGUGCAGGAAGACGGCUCUAUGAGUUGUAAACUGCUUUUGUACGAGGGUAAACGCAGAUACGCGUAUCUGUCUGAAAGUAUCGUACGAAUAAGGAUCGGCUAACUCCGUGCCAGCAGCCGCGGUAAUACGGAGGAUUCAAGCGUUAUCCGGAUUUAUUGGGUUUAAAGGGUGCGUAGGCGGUCGGAUAAGUUAGAGGUGAAAUCCCGAGGCUCAACUUCGGAAUUGCCUCUGAUACUGUUCGGCGAGAGAGUAGUUGCGGUAGGCGGAAUGUAUGGUGUAGAGGUGAAAUGCUUAGAGAUCAUACAGAACACCGAUUGCGAAGGCAGCUUACCAAGCUACUUCUGACGUUGAGGGACGAAAGCGUGGGGAGCAAACAGGAUUAGAUACCCUAGUAGUC
rnacentral:rRNA from 1 species